GAUCAGUGGCUCAGGACGAACGCUGGCGGCGCGCUUAAUACAUGCAAGUCGAACGAGAAGCCAGAGCUUGCUCUGGUGGAAAGUGGCGAACGGGUGAGUAACACGUGAGAAACCUGCCCCAAAGAUUGGGAUAAGCCUUGGAAACGAGGUCUAAUACCAAAUACCUUCUUUUAACACAUGUUAAAAGAAGAAAUGCUCCGGCGCUUUGGGAUGGUCUCGCGAUCUAUCAGCUUGUUGGUGAGGUAACGGCUCACCAAGGCAUCGACGGAUAGCUGGUCUGAGAGGAUGUCCAGCCACAUUGGAACUGAGACACGGUCCAAACUCCUACGGGAGGCAGCAGUAGGGAAUCUUGCACAAUGAGGGAAACCUUGAUGCAGCGACGCCGCGUGCGGGACGAAGGCCCUAGGGUUGUAAACCGCUUUCAGUAGGGACGAAAGUGACGGUACCUACAGAAGAAGCCCCGGCCAACUAUGUG
rnacentral:rRNA from 1 species